rnacentral:rRNA from 1 species
UACGGAGGGGGCUAGCGUUGUUCGGAAUUACUGGGCGUAAAGCGCACGUAGGCGGCUUUGCAAGUCAGAGGUGAAAGCCCGGGGCUCAACCCCGGAAUUGCCUUUGAGACUGCAUCGCUAGAAUUGUGGAGAGGUAAGUGGAAUCCCGAGUGUAGAGGUGAAAUUCGUAGAUAUUCGGAAGAACACCAGUGGCGAAGGCGACUUACUGGACACAUAUUGACGCUGAGGUGCGAAAGCGUGGGGAGCAAACAGG